rnacentral:rRNA from 1 species
AGCGGCGGACGGGUGAGUAACGCGUAGGAAUCUACCUAGUAGAAGGGGAUAGCCCGGGGAAACCCGGAUUAAUACCGUAUACCUCCUUCGGGAGAAAGAAGGCCUCUCUUUGAAGCUUUCGCUACUAGAUGAGCCUGCGUAAGAUUAGCUUGUUGGUGAGGUAAAGGCUCACCAAGGCAACGAUCUUUAGCUGGUCUGAGAGGACGAUCAGCCACAUUGGGACUGAGACACGGCCCAGACUCCUACGGGAGGCAGCAGUGGGGAAUAUUGGACAAUGGGCGCAAGCCUGAUCCAGCCAUACCGCGUGUGUGAAGAAGGCCUUCGGGUUGUAAAGCACUUUAAGCAGGGAGAAAAAGUUGUAAGCUAAUACCUUAUAACCUUGAUGUUACCUGCAGAAUAAGCACCGGCUAAUUCCGUGCCAGCAGCCGCGGUAAUACGGAAGGUGCAAGCGUUAAUCGGAAUUACUGGGCGUAAAGCGCGCGUAGGUGGUUUGUUAAGUUGGAUGUGAAAGCCCUGGGCUCAACCUAGGAACUGCAUCCAAAACUAACUCACUAGAGUACGAUAGAGGGAGGUAGAAUUCAUAGUGUAGCGGUGGAAUGCGUAGAUAUUAUGAAGAAUACCAGUGGCGAAGGCGGCCUCCUGGAUCUGUACUGACACUGAGGUGCGAAAGCGUGGGUAGCGAACAGGAUUAGAUA